rnacentral:rRNA from 1 species
GUGGGGAAUAUUGGACAAUGGGCGAAAGCCUGAUCCAGCCAUGCCGCGUGUGUGAAGAAGGUCUUCGGAUUGUAAAGCACUUUAAGUUGGGAGGAAGGGCAGUAACUUAAUACCUUGCUGUUUUGACGUUACCGACAGAAUAAGCACCGGCUAACUUCGUGCCAGCAGCCGCGGUAAUACGAAGGGUGCAAGCGUUAAUCGGAAUUACUGGGCGUAAAGCGCGCGUAGGUGGUUUUGUAAGUUGGAGGUGAAAUCCCCGGGCUCAACCUGGGAACUGACUGCAAAACUGCAUGACUAGAGUACGGUAGAGGGUAGUGGAAUUUCCUGUGUAGCGGUGAAAUGCGUAGAUAUAGGAAGGAACACCAGUGGCGAAGGCGACUACCUGGACUGAUACUGACACUGAGGUGCGAAAGCGUGGGGAGCAAACAGGAUUAGAUACCCUUGUAGUCC